GUCGGAGGAGGAGGCGGCCGCAGAGGCAGCCCAGCGGGCAGCGCCUUCCUCCCUGUGGGCCGGGCUCCGAGCCCCCACCCCUGGGCCUCAGCGGCCCAGCGCGAGGCUGUCCCGCCGGAAAUCGAGUCCGAAUUCCAAGUUAUUGUCCUUCCUCGCCUAGGGUCUCGCACUGCUUGCGGCUGCCCUCAGGAACCGCUAGUCGCCGUGGCCUCCGAUGAGACAGUCGACGUAGUGCCCCAUGCCGAGUUUAUGGAAAAACCUAGAGACUGCAAAAACAAAAAACAAAAAACCGUAUUGCCUUGGAGGAGGGACUUUGAAGAACUGGUGAGCCUGGGGAUGAGUCAAGGAGGGAGAAAGAGAGGGUACAGCAGUCUUCUGGAUAGACCUGGAAAAGAAGUAGUGCACAGACCAGGAUCCCUGACUUCCUGGAGUGAGUCUGGAACCCACACUAUCUCUGAGGUGUGACAGCAGUCUUCAGAGGAAGUGAGAAAAGACUUGCUUUGGAUUAGCUUGUAUCAGACCAACUACCAGCUGAAGACAACUACCAAAACUGGAUAAAAGCCAAACCAAACCACAUAUAUAUAUUUGCUUUUUCAGCCCACACCCGUGGCAUAUGGAAGUUCCCAGACUAGGGGUAGAAUUGGAGUUGCCAGCUUACACCACAGCAAUGCAGGAUCCAAGCUGCAUCUGCAACCUACACCACAGCUCAUGGCAAUGCUGGAUCCCCAACUCAAGCAAGGGCAGGGAUUGAAGCUGCAUCCUCAUGGAUACUAGCCAGAUUCACUUCUGCAGUGCCACAAUGGGAACUCCAAAUAUCUCUGCAUAUUUGAAGAAUUGGAAAGGAACUAAUGCAUCCAGGACUUUAUGUGACAAGAUCUUGGGAGAGAAUGGAAAUGCACUGAAGUGAGCUGAACAGUUUAUGCUAAUGUUUCCCCUCUUGGGAAGUGUUCUGAUUUGUAGCAUGGCGCAUAGAGCCUGAGCACCCUUCACUGGCCUCCCACUAUGUUCAGAACCCCUUCUUGGCACAUAUGGUUUCUUCUUGCCUGGACUGACAGCCCUGUUUAAUGCCACCUUUCCUCUUUUAAAUAAUGCUUUAGUCACACUGGCCUUUUAAUUCUUCCUGCUUGAAGCUCACUCAUUCUCCACCCUAUUCCCUCUUCCUGGAUUGAAUUCUUUCACUUCCUUCCUGGUUUAUUCCUUAUACAUUUUCCAGGUAUCACUUCCUCAGAGAACUUCCAUGACAAUCUUUCUAUGUCCUAUCCCACUCUGUCUCUAAAUUAGAGACCACUUUCUCCCCAGCACCUACAUAUAGGACACAGUAAGCACUCAAGAGAUAUUUAUUGAACAAGUGAAUGAAAGACUGUUUGAAGGGAGUGUGGCAUAGUGGAAAGAACUCUGAAUUUUACCUCAGGAGGUUACAUUCUAGCUGGGAUCUAUUUUGGGGUGGUCUUGGGCAAUCAGUCCCAUCAAUGUUUGGAGUCUAUUUAUUUUAUUUCCUUGCUUUUAAAGUGCAGAUACCCUACUAAGUUUUAAAGUGCAGAUACCCUACUAAGUUCAUAUGGUUAUUGCAAACAUAAAAUAAUAUUUGUAAAAUGCUACUGCAAGUGUUAGUGUACUACUCACAGACUCAAAAGGAAAUCACAUAUAUUCCAACAGCAAAAUAUCUUUUAAAUGCUGAAUUAUUGACACUUUACUACAUUUACCAUCAUUACCAACUCUUAAAAGGCAAAACUUUAUAAAUGGUAGUGAAAAAUAAAUAAUUCUAUAUGAAAAAUU
rnacentral:lncRNA from 1 species